AUAAUAAAUCUAUCAAUUAUAUCCUCAAAUCAUUAUCAAUAAUACCUAUUUCAUUAUCAACUAUCCAAAAACUUAAAUUCGUAAUCAAAUUCCAAAUAUCAUAUAAAUCCAUACAAACCAAGUAUAAUCCAUCCAAAAAAAUAUUACAUACAAAAACACUGGAUUUAAAAAAUAAAGGUUUGUACAAAAACAAAUGUCUUUCAUAUAUCAAAACAAUGCUUGUUUUUGGUUAAAUUUAAGUCAUUUUCGGGUCCAACUCUCAACCUAUGCUUCCCAAUCACGUGUCGUCUAUUCCUACAAGUUCUGUUAGGCACAAACAAGCUACCCAUGCCAUCCCUUGAGUGGUUCGGGAACUGUUUUGCAUUUUCGAUUCCUCAAACGUCCUUUUUUGAGUAAGUUUAAAGUAUUUUUGUGUCUAACUUCCAAUCUAUGCGUCCUAAUCACGUGUCAUUUGUUCCCACAAGUUUUGUUAGGCACGAGCAAGCUGCUCAUGCCAUCCUCCAUGAGGUUCAAGAAUUGUUUGCAUUUUCAACCCCCAAAUGUCCUUUUUCGGUUAAGUUUAAGCAUUUUCGCGUCUAACUUCCAACCAACGCAUCCUAAUCACGUGUCAUCAAUUCCCCCAAGUUCUAUUAGGCACGAGCAAGCUGUUCGUGCCAUCCCUCAAGUGGUUCGGGGAUUGUUUUGCAUUUUUGACCCUCAAACACCCUUUUUCGGUUAAGUUUAAGACAUUUUCAGGUCUAACUUCCAACCUACGUGUCCUAAUCAUGUGCCGUCUAUUCCCACAAGUUUUGUUAGGCAUGAGGAAGUUUUCCAUGCCAUCCCCCGAGUGGUUCAGUAGAUUUUUUCAUUUUCGACCCCCAAACGCCAUUUUUCGGGUAAGUUUAAGACAUUUUUGGGUCUUAGUCCCAACUUACACAUCCUAAUCACGUGUCGUCUGUUCCCAUAAGUUCCUUUAGGAACGAGUUAGCUGCACGUGCCAUCCCUUAAGUGGUUUGGGAACUGCUUUGCGUUUUCAACCCCAAAAUGCUCAUUUUCAAUUAAGUUCAAGGCAUUUUUGGGUCUAACUCCCCACUUACGCAUCCUAAUCAUGUGUCGUUUGUUCCCACGAGUCUUGUCAGCCACAAGAAAUCUACCUAUGCCAUCUCUUGAGUGGUUUAGGAACUGUUUUGUAUUUUCGACUCCUAACGCCAUUUUUCGAUUAAGCUUAAGGCAUUUUCGAGUCUAACUCCCAACCUACACGUCCUAAUAUUCCAAACUUAUGCAUCCUAAUCACGUGUCAUUUGUUCCCACAAGUUCCUUUAGGCACAAGUUAGCUACCUGUGCCAUCCGUUAAGUAGUUUGGGCACUGUUUUGCAUUUUCGAGUCUAACUCCCAACUUACGCGUCCUAAUCAUGUGCCGUUUGUUCCUAGGAAUCUUGUUAUGCACAAGAACUGUACCCAUGCUAUCCCCUGAGUGGUUCAGAGACUCGUUUGUAUUUUCGACCUUUAACGCCAUUUUUCAAUUAAGUUUAAGGCAUUUUCGAGUCUAACUCCCAACCUACGCGUCCAAAUCACGUGUUAUCUGUUCCAAGGAGUUCUGUUAGGCUGCCUCUCCCCAAGUGGUUUAGUGGUUGUUUUGCAUUUUUGACCCCCAAACAUCAUUUUUUGGUUAAGUUUAAGGUAUCUUCGAGUCUAAUUUCUAACUUACAUGUCCUAAUCACGUGCUGCCAGAGUCGGCUAGAUCAUCAGGCCAGCCAAGCCCAAGCUUUAGGCCUCCAAAUUUGGGAAGGCUCAAUUUUUUAAUAUAAUGUAAUAAGCCCAUGUGAUUCAUUAUUUAUUUUUUUGAAUAAAGGGUCCAAACUUUAAUUACACAUCUAAUCAAUAACUACUAUUUAUCACUAAAGGUGGAAAAUCAUGUUCUAUUGUUCUACCCUUUCAAUAUUUUUUUUUUGUAUUUUUAUUAUUUCUAGUGUCGUAUGCUUUUUUCUUUAAAAUUAUUUUUAGAGAAAACAAAUAUGUGUAAUAAAAAUUAUUUUUAUUGUUAGUAACCAUGCUUUUAAAGAAAAUUUGCUUUUAAAAGAAAAUGUGGUUCGUAACCACACUUUUAAAAGCCAUAUAAAAUGGCCCACACCCCCCUCAUUUGCAACCACACUUUUUAUACACUUAUAUUUUUUCCCCAAAGCCCGAACUUGUUCUGUUGAUCUCUGCUCCCUCUCUGUCUUCGUGGGACGAUCUCUGCUCUCUCUCUCUCUCUCUCUGUGGCUCGCUUUUUGCUCUCUGUCGCUGGUUGUUGAAGCUCACUCUGUGGGGUAGCUUAGGAGGGAGGUGAAGACGCUGCAUCCUACACGGAGACAUUGAUGACGAGAACAACAGGUUUGGGAAGUCCACCAUCAUCGUCUUCACCACCAUUGCGUCGACCAUGUUCAAGAUUCCAACAGUCAUCAUCAUCAUUGCAACGGUGGCAAUGGUCAUGAUCUCCACGAUCCGCAUCAUCAUCACCAUUGAGCGGUCAACAAUCACGGUCUCGAUUAUGGCCCCCAGUAGCCUCCUCAUCUAGACCCCCAAUAGCACCAUUACCAGUAUCAUCAGAGGCAACAACUGCAGCAGUGGAAGAAACAAAGGCUCUGUACAUGUUCUUCAUAUACUCAUCAGGUCCAAUUAAUUAUUGUCUGUACGCCAUCAAUAUGCCUAAUCCUGUUCUUCCUCUUCCUCCAUUGCAACCUUGCAAUCAGUUUAGAGAAUUGGAGAAGACUAUUUAUCCCAUCCUUGAAUUUCCAUUUGGAGAAUACCCAAAAUUUAUGUGUUGCGUUGCGUUGCGUUGAAUUAGACAUGAAGUUGUACUUUUUGGGGGUCUGACGAAGUUGUCAUGCCGAGAGACAAAGGUCAAAAAGGAAGGCUUGGGAUCUCAAUGACACUUACCCGCCAGAUGUCCAUGUUCUCGAUACCACCCCCAUCUCCACCAACACUAUCGUUACCAGUUACCGGCCAUCUGAGUUGUUGAGGAAGGGUACUGCAAUGAUUUGUGGGAAGCCAAAUCCUUAUGCAUUUGUGGCUCACAAGAAGAUCUAUGCCAUUACAACUAGUAUGCACUUCGAUUACAAAUUGAUGAAUGAUGAAUCUAUCACGAUUUGAAGUCUUUGAUUUGGACUCUAAUAAGUGGUCAAUCCUCCCUGAACCCCCUAUGAACAAGAAACUCACUGGUCAUGCUGUGGUUGACAGAAGGGUCUUCAUAUUAACCUUGGAAAAUGAAAUUUUCUCUUUCAACGUGGACACAUGUGUAUGGGUUUGGUUCUCAAAGUACUGUCACGUCCUGCCUUAUUUUGAGAGGAAUGCUGUGUUUGUAGAGGAUACCCUCUAUUCCAUUUACAAUUACACCCUCGCUGCAUUUGGACCGACCUUAGAGUUCGAGCCAGAGGCUAAAGCUAAAGGAUUGUUCGACCGUAUGGCACUGCUGUCCUCAGAUGUAGGUGAUGCUAUUGAGGAUAAUCUUCGAGUAUAAUGUCCUUCAGCUUACCUAGUUCAUUUGGGAAAUCGGAUUUUCUAUUAUGUCUCGACUGGCAGCCUUCUGGACCCUGAAAUCACUGACCAUUUAUACUAUGGAGAUACUGAAAAGCAUAAAAUUAGCAUCAUUACCUUUGAGGUUCUUAGGGAAACCUAUACUAAAUCUUCUAAUGAAGGAGACAAAACUUUCGUCCAGUCAAAAUUGUUGCGCACCGCACAAUUUGUUGCCAGAAGCAAGUGUGGUGCUGUUGUUGAUAUUGGUUUUCUUCUAGGCUGCUUCUUAAUUUCCACUAUAUUACUUGGCUGGUGGGCAAUGUCGGCUACUUUUGCGUGUGAUUGCAUGAUCAAACAGGACUAUUGCUGAGUUAUGAAAUCUGCCAUUGGAAAGGGGAAACAACCGGGAAGCUUCUUCAUUCAUGGUGGAGAAUGGUUUUUUGAAACGAGAUAUGCUACAUCCCCAUAAUUGAGUCCCAAUUCCACCCCCAAUGAUGUGGAAUUAGGAGGGACUAAAGAUGAGAGAGAGAGAGAGAGAGAGGAUUAAUGCUUGAAACCCCCAUGAUCCCCAAUUGAUGUGGACAAGGCAUGUAUGUAUAUUUUUUUUCCUCUCUCUCUCACAGGUGCGUGGGGGUCGUGGGGGUUGGGUUUUGUGAGAGUUUGUAUCAGAACUCGAGAGAGAGAGAGAGAGAGGGGUGUUGGACAACUUCACAUGGGUCUUAGCCACAUCAUUCGGGGUGGAAUUAGGGGGACAAAAUUAGGGGGAUGAAUCACAUUUCUUUUGAAACUAUGAACUAGCACACAUACUUGUGGUAAUUCUCAUUGAAAAGGAAUUGUUUUGUGAGAUGGUUGGAAAAACAUGGAUGGGCAGGCAGGUUUCUGGGUUGUAGUUAGAUACAGGACUCCUCAUGGCUGGUGAGUUUGUCAAUCAAGUGGAUUGACCUUAGCCUCCCUCCUUGCAAUAAUAUAAACCUUCUGUCUAAAAAUACAACCCUAUUCCUUCUUAUUCUAAUUCAGUAAUACUACAAACCUAAAAUUAACUAUUCAGAAAUUAUCCAAAAUAGUCAUCUUGUGGUGCAGAUUUAUUUUAUACAUGAACACCACUCUACAAAAAUUCAAUCUCAACCACACAACUCUCAUUCCGGUACAUUCGGGAUUUGUAAGGUGGGGUUCAUAGCAUUUUUCAUUCUAAUUUAGAGCUCAGUCAAUCCUGUCCUCUUUUCUUCUGUUCUCUUCCUUUCCACAGAAAACCCUUUUGCUUUUUCUUCAAACUUUCUGUUUCAGAGAACCUGGCAGAGCGAUUCAUAUGGAAAGUGUUGAUUGAUUUAAGUUUUUUCUCAUGUUGGUUCGAUUGAUUGAUUCAUGUCUUUACCUCAUCUUUGUCUAAUCGAUCGAUUCACGUCUUCACUCUUAUCUUGCUCUGAUCAAUCACUUCACGUCUUCACUCUCAUCUUGGUCCAAUUAAGAAGGCAUAUAAAUAAUGAUCUAGAAAAUAUUAUACAUUUUAAAAUAUUAUUUGCACUCCACUAUUCUGUUGUUUCUCAUCAUUUUGAUAUGUUGGUGUUUUAUGUUUUGGAGUAAG